AGGUCACUCUUUUACGCCAUUGCCUCAAAGCUUGCUGAGGAACAAAUUCAAGCAAGUCCUCACCAAGGACUGGGAAAUCCUUUGUCUGGAGGGGCAACAGAUGGACAAGGCCAGAGGCAACGAGAGAGAGAUAAGUGGCAGCUAAAUGGCCAGGAAACAGUCUUUUGUGUGGACUUAUCUCAAGAGAGACAGCCGUCUUACGGGGUGCGCACAUGACUAUUAUCCAAGUGCCCAGGAAUGUCACGUAGGCAGGGAAGAAGGAGGAUAAAAGAGGGUCCAACAAACAUGAAGGCAGGUGUCUGCCAUGAGAUCCCCCGCUACGAAAGGCCUGUAUGCUGACGGACUCUCCAGGGGCCUGCUACUGGACACCUGCUGCUUCCGCCCGGGCUUCUUCCUGGCCCAAGACCGGCCAUGCUGCUGCUGCUGCUGCUGCUGCUGCUGCUGCUGCUGCUGCUGCUGCUGCUGCUCUUCCCCUGCGCUUUUGCCCCGGGCCGUCGGAACGUCAUGGAACAGGACUACUGCCGGAUCCUGGUGUGUCUCUUGAUUGCUACUCGUUAGAAACAGACUACAUUUCUGUUUACCAGAACAAAAAUAUUCCACUUCCUCAUCCUACCUUAUAAUCCAACUCUGCAUUGGACAUACAAAUAUGUGAAUUAAAUAUUUAAAAGUUUUAAAGACCGUAUCUUCUACCAUGUUAAGAAAUGAU
ensembl:lncRNA